ensembl:lncRNA
GACUGAAGGGUGGAGCAGAGCUUCAUUAGCAGCCCCAGCUGCCACCUGGGAUGGGGAGUGUGAAAUGGCAGCAGGAACCGCAGUGCUCUGCCAGCUUCCCUCGGCUCCGCUUUGGAUUAAAGCAACCAGAACUGCAGUGUAUCCCUGGACAUCAAGUGCUGCACUGCAAAUUGUCUCACGAUGCUAAGUACCUCAAGUCCAUUCCUCAGACCUGUAAUUAUCUGGUGCGCCUCAAAAGUUACAUUGCAUUGGAUGCUGGUUUUAAAUUUUGAAAAUUAUCUGAUUUAUUACAGUCUGUAUUAUAUGAUUUUAAAAAUUGUGUUAUGUGAAUGCCUGGGGAGUUUGUCUACAACAAGGCUUUUGUAUGGUUGGACAAACAAACAAAAAAACAAAACACCACCUUAGACAAAAUCAGACUUUUCUUAAACAUCCGUUCUCCAAAAAUAUUCAUUUCUCCCAUAAACCUCAGCUAUUAUGGGAUACAUGUGAAUAGUCUGUGAGAGACGACAAAGGAUGGAACCUUGUGUGCUGAAGGCUUAACGAAGAAGUUCCCACCUGUGAUGCAAAUCUUGGAUUUAGAGAUAUUUUUUUCUGUCCUAUUCCAAAGGGACAUAAGAAACAAACAAACAUACAAAAUGAACCACUAUCAUGCUGUCCAGGUUGAUGUUUCAGAUCCUUGCUUGCUCUGUUGUUGUCUCCUGGCAAGACUGCCUGCUAGUGCCAGCUAUGGUGUGAACACCUCCCUGCUGGGAACAGGAGUGAAACUGCCAUUUUUAAUUGGGACACUGAAUAAUUUGUGGUGAAUAGCCAUGUAUGCUCAUUACCGAUCAAGGAAGAAUUAGAACCAAUGAAAACUUUCUAAUCCCAUAAUCUUGACUCAUCUAUUUAUAUCGCAUUGUACUUUUAUUUUAUUUUACUUUGUUUUGUUUUAUUAUUUUUAGCUGGUCAAGGGGAAGGUUUAACUUCAGUAAACCUAAAAAGCAAUGUGGAUUUCUGAGGAAAAAAUACCAGUGUCUUGAUUCAACAACUAAUUCUUACUCUGCAUGUUUAUUUUCAAAGAACUCUUAAUAUCUGUGCCCUGUUCAGCUUUAUGUAGGGAAACAUAAUAUAACAGUGAAGAACUGAAUCGGUUUGAUAGUGUUGAGAUUAUGUUUGAAAGCAACCUCUUUAGUAUGUUAGAUUUCAGCCACUCUUUGAGAUGCUCUCUCAGACAAAGCAGAUAAUGCAGGAGCAGGUUUCAGUGAAAUAGAGAACAUUCUUGCAUUGUUGAUUACUAAAUAAUAAUCAAGUGUUUUUGGGUUUUGAUUCUCUCUCUUGUUCUCUUAGACUAUUAUUGGAUUGUGGAAUGAACUAUAUAUUUGUGGGAUCUUAAAGAAUCAUCAGGAAUUUGAAGACUUUUGGAUGCUGAUUCCAAAGGGCUGCCACACUUCACAGCUUAAAGAUAAACUUGGGGAUAUAAAAUGAAAAAGAUGGAGGUCGUGAAUGUUUGUUCAUAACUGAAUGUUUAGGGAGUUUAGAUUUAAAAACAAAACAAAAGGUUUCAAAAACUGGCAGCAACGUGACAGCAAGAAAAAAAAAGGUGAUGUUCAUGAUUGACUCGGCUAUAGUAUUGAGGUGAUUAUUCAAGUACAGUAGUCUUUGUUGGGUUAGGAUGAGAAUUACUGGGACUUUUGGUUGUGAUAAUUUUCAUAAAGCUCACUCAUUUUGAUCCUCUCUAAAGUCAUUGAAAUAUGUAGAUAGAGUUAUUAUUCUGUUAUCUUGCUCCUUUCUUAAGCAUUCCCAUUUUUUUUUACACAUUUAUGUGGUUUUGUAUCCUACUCUUUGCCAUAAUCCUGUGAAUGUGUACUUGGCCCACUGUAGCUACCUCACUAAUCUCAUCUUGCUGGUAGAAUCAGGAUUACUGUGAAUGAAAGAAAAAGUGUAAAGUUGAUCAAAACUCAUCCCUUGACUUAUGGAGAGUAGUCUAGAUGUCAGCAGAUACAGAGCAUAGAUUGCUCUGCACUUGCACUCUGUACUUACCACAAAAUAUCUUUGUCUUACACAAAUCUGUGACUACUGUAAUAUUACAGAAGACAGGUACUGUGAGGCAAUCUGUUCUGGCAUGUUGCAUUUGACCCUUGCUUUUUUGCGACUUCCCAAGUGUGAGAAUGAGAAUCAACACUCUUAUCUUUUACUUUGAGGGCUUGAGAUGAUCUAUUUGUUUUACUCUUAAUUUGAUAUUGAAAUCCCAUCCACUGUCAUACUGCAGGAAUAACGCUGUGUCUAAUAGUGGGAAGGGACUGUAGAGAAUUAGAGGGGAACAGCACUAAUUAUUUGUACAGAAUUUUCAGGCUAGAAAAAUUCUGAGUCAAAUACAGGAACCUGCUGCUACUGUCAGGAGGAAACGAGAGAGAUAAAAAGAAGAGCCUUGGUGAAGAUAUGCAAGUUUUUGAUGUUCCAUGCACAACUAAGUGGUAUUCAGGCAGGGGGAGGGUUUGAGGAUAUGUAAAUAGAAGAAGGAGACAGGGAGGGUAUACAUGCUUAGAAGUAGCUUUAAUGGUGUUAGCCACAACUUUCUUAGUAGAGCACCUUCCCUUCCAGCUCAUUGUUGCUGCGUGUCCCUUGUGAAAGUGCUAUAGACAGAAGGUACAAAAAAUCUUUUUAAAGGACAGCAGGACUGAAGAAUGCAUGAAUGAAGAUACUCAAUAGCACUACCUUUCCUAAUAAUAUUAAUUGAAUAAAUUGACUCUGCUGUUUGGAUAGAAAACACUUUUCAAAUGAGCUGUCGAUGAAAAUUGUUGGGCUGAAACAGCAGCAGAAUAUGAAGAAAAGCAAAAAUACCUCCCAUUUUUACCUCAGCCCCCUUCUCACCUCCUCCCCCAAGGUCCACUUGCUUCCCCUUGUUGUGUACAGUUCACCAGCUGUGCCCUGUGAGAUGAGCUUGGGCGGGCUACUUUCUUCACACCUCUGUGUGAUGAACACAGCACUUUCCCAAUCUGCUGGACUUAGCGGUAUUUCUUGGGCCAGACUGUCAGGUUGCUGAGGAUAACUGAGGGUUUAAUUUGCAGUUUGCAUUCUUUUCCUAAGUACUGCAUGCUCUGGAGAGAAGUCAAAGUGGUUGCAUGAUCGUGAACUCAACGGUUCCAUCCAUCUCUCCUUUAAUUUAGGAAAGUCAGUUCUGUCCCAGAGGUAUUUCACAUGUUGGACACACUAAGCUCAUUUAUAUUGCGAAGGACAAAAAUAAAAUGCUGUUACUAAAGGAAUGAAAAGUCUGGUGAGCUUCAGUUUCUUUCUGCCAGAUUAAAUAUUCUAAUUGUUUAAAAUUGCACAUAGAUACACAAGUGGUCAGUUUGUGUCUGAAUUUACCUGUCUUAUGCAUAUGAUUUAUACCAUAAAUGCAGCAAUUUAUACAGCAAAUUAGGUAAACAGUAUCAUGCUGAUAUUUUCUAUUUAAUAUAUUUAAAAAUUUAGAGCCUGUUUACCAAAUGAUAAUGUAUACAAUGAAGCAGUUUGAAAGACAAAAGCAGUUGCACACUUUGGUUUUUGAAUUAUAGGAUUAAAAAUCAGGAUUUUUAUCCUGUGUAUGAGAUUGUAUGACUUUUGUUUUUACUUUUAAAUACACAAAGUAUUUGUAUACAGCUUCUAACCUCAGGUCACCCUUGAAGGAGCCAGCAUUGGUGAGUUCUGGCAGUGCUGCUGUGAGGUAAAGUAGCAAUUGUGUUAAUGAAGAACCUGAGGAGAAGUAUAUCCGGUCUGCUAAAGACUUAUUUGCAGUAAAAGAAGCUGAAUUUUUUUCAUUUUAUUUCUCUCUCUUUUUAUUUUUUUUUUUCCUUUUUCCUGAUUUCAGUGAUGAGAUGUGGAAAGAAACAGGAAGCAGAACUGAAUUUUCUUUCAAAUAAGGUUAUUUGGCUUGAAAGGGGGGAAAAAUAAGUGAGGGGGUUAUGUGAUGUUUUGUGGUAGAAUUUUUACCAACUUUCUUUAUCAUUCUAGUUCUUAAAAAAUUGUGAGUCUCCAUGAUACGAAGCAGACGUUCUCAUGGAUUACCUUAUUUGAUGUUCUUGUAUGAUACAGCUUUUAUUCUCCCUUCAGGACAACUGGAAUCAAAUGCUGUGGUAAAUGAUCAUCAGAGCAACUUUUUCCGUAUCUCCAGGAUUCCAGUGUAUUCACUGCAAUAAUCUAGAUGAUGGUUAUAAAAUUAGCAGUUAUGAUACUGUUCCCAUAGAUGACUUUUGUCCUUCCUCCCACUCACCAAUGUGGUCUUGGUUGCUUUCAGUUUUGACUAGAGAAGUUAUGCUCCCGUGACAGAGUAGUAGCAGGCAUGCAGCACCCUAAUGCUGAUCCAAUAUCUUCGUCUCCAGUGAAGAGGAAUGGGAUGCCUGAAUACAAGGGAAAAGGCAAUGAGUCAGUUACCUCCUUUGAUUUCCCAUCCUCCCCUGGUAUCAUUUCUGCCUUUCCUGGGCAGCGCUGUUACUUUCUACAAGACAAGAAAAACAGCAGACAUUGUUCCAUGUGGGCAACAUUUGGCAGUGGAGUACGGGUCUUGUUAGAGUCUUGUUAGGUCUUGUUGCUUUGACUCAGAUACCACUUUCUUGCGUUAGACCCACCAUAGAUUGGAAGGAACCAAAAGGAUAUCUUUUGACUGUAAGCUGUGAAAGUGUUUGAACAAGC